CAAGACGAGACACUGAUGGGGCUGCUUGCAUGCCAAGGUCAGAGAGCCUGGGCUGCAGUCCCAGCUCUGCUCUGGGCUUCCACCCCCUGCUGAUGCACACCAUGGGAGCCAGAAGACGACGGCUCAAGUACUUGGGUCCCUGACACCGAGGAGGGGACCCAGAUGAAGUUCCCAGCUCCUGGCUUUGGCUCAGCCCCCUUCCAUCUGUUGUGGGCAUUUGGGGAAUGAACCAGAGGAUGGGAGAUCUGUCUCUGAAAUAAAAUAAAAUAAUUUCUAAGUCAACAUUUCCAUCACCCCCCAAAUUAAAAAAAAAAAAAAAAUUUACUCUAAAAACUAUUGCAGGAAAACACCGUCGCUCCCUGAGGCUUAUCCAGCCCCACGUGCUCUGGCCCGCCCUGCAACAGGAGAUAGGCACUCCCAGGAGUGCCUUCCAGACACACUCUUAUCUCUCACACCCAUGAGGGGAACCGAGUCUGCUUCGCUGAGUCCUUUCUGUGCCCUUGACCCACCCUCCUCCCGCCGGGACAGACCCUCGUGAAACCGUCCUGCACGCUGCGCCCUCAGCUCCCGCACAGGGCCUGCUCCCCAUCACACGUGGUGAGAUCUGCGUGAACCAGGACACCCGCUGGACUCCAAAGGGCCUCCUGAGCAUUCCACACACGAGUUCCUCUUACAGAAGCAGGUCUGUGACGCUCAGGACACUCCAAGGCGCCAAGCUCUGAGCCUUGCGAGUCCUGUUAAACUCUGAGAGCCACUCAACAAACGUUCUACCCUCAAGGGAUCUGCGAUGCAGUCACCCCGCCCUACACACUCCUUCAGCCACUAGUGGACACACUGUGUCCCGCACACGCUGAGGUCACACUCGUAAGUGGGUGGCUCUCACCGUGGCUGUGAGCUCCACAGGGAGACUUAAGUGCUAGGACAGUGGAGGUGGCUCCCUGAGGGAUACACCUUUCCAGUCUAUAUUCAAGGACACGUAGGCCACAGGACACAGGGCCGCCAGGCUGCUCAGCCACACUGUAACCUGGGCUUCUCGUUAAAACAGCAAAUCCGUGGCACAGGCAUUUGGUGCAACAGUUAAGACGCCGCUUGGGACACCUGUAUCCCAAAUCGGAGUGCCUGAAGUCCCAGUCCUGCUUCCAGUUCCAGCUUCUGGCAAACGCACACCCUGGGAGGCAGCAGAAAACACCACGGUGAUGACGUGAGUGGCAAAACCACAAAGGUCCCGUCUGGGCCCGGACGGAGUUCUCUAGAGCAGGUGGUGUGAGAAACCAGAGCACCGCUCUACCAGGGGAGACACCUGCAGGCAGCAAGGCAGACGCAACACUGGCCACUGCAUCACGACGAAGCUCCAUCCUGAACUUCCCGACAGAAAAAUCAAACAAGGAUCUGAGCAGACAGCACCCAGAAGACAAAAUAUGGGCGGCAUAGCCCUUGUUCCCUAAGACUCUGUGUGGGCAGAGCAGGGGGACGGGCACCACAAGCUGCCGGUGGGAGCACAGCCAGACACAGCCCUGAGAGGGAGCUCUGCCAGUGCCCCAACAGAGACACAGGCACAUACAAGACCACAGGACAAAGCACACCGCCAUCAGCUAAGUGCCUCGGGGAUGGGAUAGUGACGCAGCCAGGAGGAGAAAGGUGAAGUCCUCACCGACCAGGUGCAACCUGGCACAGGCAGUGAGUGCCCACCGUAAAGGGGGACAGCUGGCACAGGGCUGCCUUGGUGGAACCUGCACGGGCUGCACCAAGGACAGUGGACGUGAUUUUCAAACAUGUGACCUUUCCAAGGGAAAGUCAGAAGAAUGGAAGAGUCACCAAACGCUAACCGUGAUUCUCGCUGCAGACGCUUCUGUUCUUCACACUCUCCCAAGUCUCUCACGUCCCUAACCAACAAGCACCGGUGGUGAAAUCACUCAAAAUGGUCACUGCUCACUCCCUGCGUACGUGGACCCUGGAGCUCCCCAGCCUCAGCUCUCGGCUCAGACCCACCUCGAGCGGGGAGUGGAGAGCCCCCAGGUUUAGGAGUGAAGCCCCCAGGAAGGCCUGGGAAGAGGCACUGAGCUGAAUGCAUGGCACAGGGAAGGCAGGACCGUGCAGGAAGCAGAGAGGGCAGAAGACGGAGGCCCCAGGUCACAGGGGCGCGGCAUCGUGGCACACCUGUGCCAAGUUAAAGGCCUGCCCCAGAUGUGCAGCUGCCAGCAAUGUGCCCAUUCUCAGAGGUAAGUGACGGGCAGGCAAAGCUGCCAGGGAGGGGUGCAGUCAGCUGAGUGCAUCCCGGCUGCAGCUUCACGGCCAGGGAAGAUCCACAGCUGGCACUGGGCACCAGGACUCCUUUAAGAAGCAACAGACCUCCUUGCUUGCCCACACUUACCAGAGCCACCAACACAACCCAUCAACUGGGUGCUUUCCGUAGCAUCCCAGCGCCUGCUGCCUGCCCUCACACACGGUGUCUGGGACCUCAGCUCCCCAAGCACGAGGAACAGCCGGCCGCAGCCAGUCGCAGCCGGUCGCAGCCGGUCGCAGUUCCCUCAGUGGUGACGUGAGGAGGAGGGCACUCCCCUGAGGAAGGUGGGCCCACAACCUGGCACUGCGUCACACUCGAUAAAACGUCCCUCCCCAGUUGACAACUGACUCCUCCAGACGCCAUACCUGACUUCAGGCGCUUUCUGUUCUCAGAAGACCAUGGAGGGGACUGUCCUAGCUGAGCGCACGUCACCGGCUAAGGAGCUGGCAUUGUAAAAGCAGCCAUCAAGGUCACUCCUGUCAAGAGUGGCCACAGAGCUGCCCCUAUGCACCCUCCCUCUCCCCAGUACCAGCAGAGCGCCAGCACCGGCAGCAGGAGACAGAGCGCCCCAUCUGUGAGGCCCAGAAAGGCUGCCCAUGCCCCGACCUACCUGUCGUAAGCCUCCUUGAGGUCCCGGGCCAGCUUGCACUUGGGCAGGAUGUGAUGGAACGGGGACUGGGGCCCUUCACUGGCUGCAAGAACCACAACACAGGACUCAGGGCUCUCAGACAGGCUGGCAUGGGGGCAUCGUCACAGCAAGUCGGCCUUCGGAGGAACAUCAGCCAACUCCCCGUCUCCACCUAAAUAACAGCUGUUCUGACUGGUGGGUGCUGCGGCCAGCGGGCUAAGCGGCAGCUUGGGACGUCCAUGUCACAUUACCAGAGGGCUGGUGUGAAUCCUGGCUGCCCUGUGCUUCUCAUUCUGCUUCGAGCUAGUCCCUCCUGGGGGCGGCAGAUAACGGCUCCAGUGUUAGGGCCUCUGCCACUCACAGAAGACCUAGAUGGAAUUCUGUCCUGGCUUCGGCUUGUCCCAGACCUGGCUGUUGUGGCCAUUUAAGGAGUGAAAUCAGUGGAUGAAGAUUUCUCUCUCUUUAUGUCACUCUGGCUUUCAAGUAGAUGGAAACAAACUUUUAAAAAUGACACAGGGGCCGAUGCUGCGGCUCACUAGGCUAAUCCUCCGCCUUGCAGCACCAGCACACCGGGUUCUAGUCCCAGUUGGGGCGCCGGAUUCUGUCCCGGUUGCUCCUCUUCCAGGCCAGCUCUCUGCUAUGGCCAGGGAGUGCAGUGGAGGAUGGCCCAAGUUCUUGGGCCCUGCACCCCAUGGGAGACCAGGAGAAGCAUCUGGCUCCUGCCUUCGGAUCAGUGCAGUGCGCUGGCCGCAGUGCUCCGGCCAUGGCGGCCAUUGGAGGGUGAACCAACGGCAAAAGGAAGACCUUUCUCUCUGUCUCUCUCUCUCACUGUCCACUCUGCCUGUCAAAAAAAAAAAAAAAAAAAAAAUAGACACAGGGAGCUGGCAUUGUGGUGUAGUAGACAGAGCCACCACCUGUGAUGCUGGAAUCGCAUAUGGGUGCUGGCUCACAUCCCAGCUGCUCCAUUUCCCAUCCAACUCGCUAUUAAUGGCCUGGGAAAGACGCAGAGACUGGCCCAGGUACUUGGGCCCCUGUUCCCGACCUGGAAGAAACUCCUGGCUCCUGCUUGGCCCAGCCCUGGCCAUUGUGGUCAUCUGGGGAGUGAACCAGCACAUGGAUUCUCUCUCUUCCCUCCCUCGCACGCUCCCUCCCUCCCUCCUCCCCCACCUUUCCUCCCUCCCUCCCCAUCUUUCCUCCCUCCCUCUCUGUAACUCUUUCAAAUAAAUAAAUAGAUCUUAAAAAAAAAAAUGAGACUUAGGAGACAGGCAUUUGGCACAGUGGUUAAGACACUGUACUCCAUACCAGAGUGCCUGAAGUCACAUUGGGUCCAGCUUCCUGUUAACGUACACCCUGGAGGGAGCAGAUGGCAGCUCAAAUAUCAGGGCUCCCUGCUACUCACACAGGAGACCCAGGUCGGGGUCUGGCUCCUGGCUUUGGCCUGACCUGACUGUGCCUGUUGUGGGCAUUUGGGGAGCAAACAAGAGGAAGGGAAAUCUCUCUCUACUUUUCAAAUAAAUAAAUAAAAAUAAACUUCUGGAUUGUAGUCAUAUUAGCACAUACUUGGUCAAAACAGAAAUAUAUUGUAAAUUUUGAUAGGUAACUGUCAAAUAUAAAGACUUCACUGAUAAUA